GACGUAGGUGGCGAACGUUAUCCGGAAUUAUUGGGCGUAAAGGGUGCGUAGGCGGCUUUUUAAGUCAGGUGUGAAAUCCUGGAGCUCAACUCCAGAACUGCCUUUGAUACUGGGGAUCUUGAGUUCGGGAGAGGUGAGUGGAACUGCGAGUGUAGAGGUGAAAUUCGUAGAUAUUCGCAAGAACACCAGUGGCGAAGGCGGCUCACUGGCCCGAUACUGACGCUGAGGCACGAAAGCGUGGGGAGCAAACAGG
rnacentral:rRNA from 1 species